rnacentral:rRNA from 1 species
UACCCCAUAUGCCGAGAGGUGAAAUGAAUUUCGCCUGAGGAUGAGCCCGCGUCUGAUUAGCUAGUUGGUGGGGUAAUGGCCCACCAAGGCGACGAUCAGUAGCUGGUCUGAGAGGAUGAUCAGCCACACUGGGACUGAGAUACGGCCCAGACUCCUACGGGAGGCAGCAGUGGGGAAUUUUCCGCAAUGGGCGAAAGCCUGACGGAGCAACGCCGCCUGAGGGAUGAAGGCCUCUGGGCUGUAAACCUCUUUUCUCAAGGAAGAAGACAUGACGGUACUUGAGGAAUAAGCCACGGCUAAUUCCGUGCCAGCAGCCGCGGUAAUACGGGAGUGGCAAGCGUUAUCCGGAAUUAUUGGGCGUAAAGCGUCCGCAGGCGGCCUUGUAAGUCUGUCGUUAAAGCGUGGAGCUUAACUCCAUUUAAGCGAUGGAAACUACAAGGCUUGAGUGUGGUAGGGGCAGAGGGAAUUCCCGGUGUAGCGGUGAAAUGCGUAGAUAUCGGGAAGAACACCAGGGGCGAAGGCGUUUGU